rnacentral:rRNA from 1 species
AUGGGAGAAGUUGCCUACAAGCUGGAAUUGCCUGAAGGAUUGUCAGGAGUUCAUGAUGUAUUUCACGUUUCCCAGUUGAAGAAGUGCCACGCAGAGAUGGCUGAGAUACCACUGAGAGAUACAGUGCCACUGGAAGCGAUUCAGCUGGAAAGCGAUUUGACCUAUGAGGAGAAACCCGUAAAGAUUCUUGAAUAUGCCAGCCGAGUUACCCGCAGUAAGGUUAUCAAGUUUUGCAAAGUCCAGUGGAGUCACCAUACGGAAGAUGAAGCCACCUGGGAGCGAGAGGAAGAUCUACGGAAGGACCACUCUCACCUAUUUUCUAGCCAACCCGAAUCUCGAGGGCGAGAUUCAUCUUAA